GUGCCCCUUUUAGCAGCACACAUACUAAAAUUGGGAUGACAAAGAAGAAAUUAGCAUGGCCUCUGUACAAGAUGAAGCAUCUUACUAAAAUAAAUCAUGCUCAG
rnacentral:snRNA from 1 species